CCGCACCGGGUCCCCCGGAAGCUUUUGACCUGCAGGGUGCUACAAAGUCCAUUCGCUGUUCCUGAGAGGCAGAUGCCCCGUCGGGGGAGAGCAAGAGCCGCCGGUGGGAUCAGCGCCUUUCGGGAUGUCGACGUGCGGGAACGGGAAGCGCAAAGGAGGAGGCCACGCGGCAUGGAAAGAGUCUGAAAAUCACAGGGGUCCUCGAAUGCAGCAGGCGCGCGGAAACGCCUCAUGCCGUCGUCCGACGUGGUAUGGCUUUUCGAGAGAAAA